rnacentral:rRNA from 1 species
CCGGCACCGCGCGCUACACCUGAGCAGGGCCAGCGAGUAUAUCACCUUAGCCGAAAGGCUUGGGUAAUCUUGUGAAACCUUGUCGUGCUGGGGAUAGAGCAUUGCAAUUAUUGCUCUUCAACGAGGAAUACCUAGUAAGCGCGAGUCAUCAGCUG